rnacentral:rRNA from 1 species
CAAUAGCGUAUAUUAAAGUUGUUGCAGUUAAAAAGCUCGUAGUUGGAUUUCUGGUGGGAGCGAUCGGUCUGGCGCUUAGCGCGAGUACUUGCAUCGUCUCCGGCCAUCCUUGGGGAGAGUCUGUCUGGCAUUAGGUUGUCGGGCAGAGGAUCCUCAUCGUUUACUGUGAAAAAAUUAGAGUGUUCAAAGCAGGGUUAUGCCGUUGAAUAUAUUAGCAUGGAAUAAUAAGAUAGGACUUUGGUACUAUUUUGUUGGUUUGCGCACCAAAGUAAUGAUUAAUAGGGACAGUUGGGGGUAUUCGUAUUCCGUUGUCAGAGGUGAAAUUCUUGGAUUUACGGAAGACGAACUACUGCGAAAGCAUUUACCAAGGAUGUUUUCAUUAA